AGGGGAGCAGGGCAGGAGAGGCGCAGGGAGGAGCUGCAGAAAAUCACUGAAUUCUGCACAUUUCUGAGAUUUGAGAAUUUUGGGAGAGGUGCAGCGAGCGCUAGGCGCCUUCCUUCAGCCCCGAUUAGCUCUGCGGGCUGUUUUCUUAUAGCUCUGCUUUCCCCUUUGCUCGAGGUAGGGCUUUCAGAGGAGGAAAAUGAGAGAAGUGUGGAAAAACGUGAGCGUGGAGGAGCUGCAGGGAGGGUGAGCGAGAUGUGGGGCGAAAGCGGGGCUUUUCGCCAGCCGAAGAGAAGUGCAGGGGGAGAAAAGCGAACGCUGAGCUAAAAUGUGAAGUUCUGGAGUGAAAGAUGGCUCUGAGAGAAGAUGGAUGGAAGGAGGAGAAAUGGAGAGCGAAGAGGACAGGGAGAAAUGAGCAAGAUGGAAAAAAUGGGUGGCGAACGCGGAAGUCAGGAGAAAAUGGAAACAGGAGACAAAGAGGCAAUGAUGGCAAAAAUGGAGGAGAGGAGGAAGUAAUGGAAAAAAAAAAAAAAGGAGAACGUAAUAGGAAAAAAAAAAAAAAGGAGAAGAGAGGAUAAAAUAAUGGGGGGAAAAGGAAAAUAGGAAUUAAUAGAAAACGAGAGAAGAGAAGAAUAGGAAGUAAUAGAAAAAAAUAAAGUAGAAAUGGAAGAGAAAAUAGAAAAAAAUAGGAGAAGAGCAGAAAAUAGAAAAAAUAGAAAAUAGAAAAUGAUAGAAGAUAAAAUGGAAGAUUAGAAAAUAAUAGAAAAAAUGAAGAAAUUGAAGAGAAAAUAGAAGAUUAGAAAAUAGAAAAAAAUAGAGGAGAAAACUGAAAAAAAAAACAGAAAAAAGGAGAAAAAAGAAAAGUAGAGAAGAAUAGAAAGUAAAGAAGAGGAAGAAUAGAGAAAAUAGAAAGAAAGAAAAAUAGAAAAAGGAAAAAUAGAAGACAAUUAGAAAAUAGAAAACAGUAGAAAACAGAAGAAAAGUAGACAGAAAAUAGAGAAGAAAAUAGAAAAAAAAAAGUAGAAGAGAGAAGGUAGAAAAUAGAAAAAACAUAAAAGAAGGCAGUAGG
rnacentral:lncRNA from 1 species